AAUGAACGUUGGCGGCAUGGAUUAGGCAUGCAAGUCGAGCGAGAAGGGUUUUGAAGCUUGCUUUAGAACCCGGACAGCGGCGAAAGGGAGAGUAACGCGUAGUUAUGUGCCCUAGGGUCCGGAAUAGCCACGGGAAACUGUGGGUAAUGCCGGAUAAUACCCCCGGAUCAAAGGUGUGAUUCCGCCCUAGGAGCAGACUGCGUCCUACUAGCUAGUUGGUGGGGUAAUGGCCCACCAAGGCAACGAUGGGUAGCGGGUGUGAGAGCAUGACCCGGCUCACUGGGACUGAGACACUGCCCAGACACCUACGGGUGGCUGCAGUCGAGAAUCUUCGGCAAUGGGCGAAAGCCUGACCGAGCGAUGCCGCGUGCGGGAUGAAGGCCCUCGGGUUGUAAACCGCUGUCGUAGGGGAGGAAGAUUUCGUGAAGAGCGAAAUUUGACCUAUCCUAGGAGGAAGUACGGGCUAAGUUCGUGCCAGCCGCCGCAGUAA
rnacentral:rRNA from 1 species